CUCGUCCCUGUAGACGGUCAGGCGGACUCUUUGCGGGGUUUGACGCAGCACGUUGAUGGCCUCGUCGUGACUGGCUGCACGCAGGUCGAUGCCAUUCACCUGUGAGGAGAGGAAAGGAGGUCAUAUGUGAUGCUCAUUGUACCGCAUCGCACCGCACCUCAAGGAUUUGGUCUCCUGCCCAGAGUCUGCCAUCUUUGGAGGCUGCCCCUUCUUCGUAUACUUCGUGGAUAAUGAUGGCCCCCUGGAGUGAAAGAGAAAAAAAAUGAGAAGAAGGAGGUGAACAGGAACUGCUGGAGAUGAUGAUGGAGAGUGUCAUUUGGGGUGCAGAGGUUACAUUCCAGGGCUGGAUAUUGUCUGCUGCGGCCGAGGCCAGACAAAGAGCAGCUCCCUCCCAAGCCUGACUGAGCAGACAGAAUGGAUGGGCUGAGGAGAGGACGGCAGGAGGAGGACGGCUGUGACAACAUCAUUUCCUACAUUCCUGAACUGCCAUGACUAUUUUGAACUUCUGUUAUACCACCACUUAAGAUUCUAAGUGGGGGGUAACUAACAGGUUACAAUUAAAUGUACUUUUAAAGUAUAUUUCCACAAAGGGAUUGUAGACUGUGAAAUGGCCAAAUACUCUUUUUCUAAACUGUUUCAUGUUUUCAAAUAAAUCAUUCCUAUUAAAACUACCUCAGGAAAAUCUAUUUUCUUUAAGUUUCCUACCAGCAGGGUGUCACAGCCCCCCACGAUGCUCAGGCCCAGGC